rnacentral:rRNA from 1 species
AGUGAACGCUGGCGGUAGGCCUAACACAUGCAAGUCGAACGGCAGCACAGUAAGAGCUUGCUCUUACGGGUGGCGAGUGGCGGACGGGUGAGGAAUACAUCGGAAUCUACUUUUUCGUGGGGGAUAACGUAGGGAAACUUACGCUAAUACCGCAUACGACCUACGGGUGAAAGCAGGGGAUCUUCGGACCUCGCGCGAUUGAAUGAGCCGAUGUCGGAUUAGCUAGUUGGCGGGGUAAAGGCCCACCAAGGCGACGAUCCGUAGCUGGUCUGAGAGGAUGAUCCGCCACACUGGAACUGAGACACGGUCCAGACUCCUACGGGAGGCAGCAGUGGGGAAUAUUGGACAAUGGGCGCAAGCCUGAUCCAGCCAUACCGCGUGGGUGAAGAAGGCCUUCGGGUUGUAAAGCCCUUUUGUUGGGAAAGAAAAGCAGCAGGUUAAUACCCCGCUGUUCUGACGGUACCCAAAGAAUAAGCACCGGCUAACUUCGUG